ensembl:snRNA
GUGUUGUAUGAAAGAAGAGGAUGCAAUCCCCUUGUGAAGGAUAGAAGAGGUCCUAGUAGCCUUUACAACACAUACAGGGUUCAUACAGUUAAGGCAUAGCUCCCUACUCUGUGGUAUCUUUUUUU